CGACCGGCGCACGGGUGAGUAACACGUAUCCAACCUGCCGAUAACUCGGGGAUAGCCUUUCGAAAGAAAGAUUAAUAUCCGAUAGCAUAUCAAGAUCGCAUGAUCUUGAUAUUAAAGAAUUUCGGUUAUCGAUGGGGAUGCGUUCCAUUAGUUAGUUGGCGGGUAACGGCCCACCAAGACGACGAUGGAUAGGGGUUCUGAGAGGAAGGUCCCCCACAUUGGAACUGAGACACGGUCCAAACUCCUACGGAAGGCAGCAG
rnacentral:rRNA from 1 species